rnacentral:tRNA from 1 species
CGGGGUGUAGUUCAGUUGGCUAGAAUGCACGGCUGGGGGUCGUGCGGUCGCAGGUUCGAGUCCUGUCACCCCGACCA